rnacentral:tRNA from 1 species
GGGGGUGUAGCUCAGUGGGAGAGCACUGCCCUCGCACGGCAGGGGACAGGGGUUCAAAUCCCCUCACCUCCA